rnacentral:snoRNA from 1 species
GGGUCCAUCCUAAUUCUCACAGGCUUAUACUGUUACCUGAUGGGUUUCGCUGGUGGACUACAUCAACUUAGAGGAACCCUCUUAAAAACA